rnacentral:misc_RNA from 1 species
UGGAAGGCCAAAUUUCAAAUUGCAAACAUAAAUUGAUUUCAUCUCUUCAUUUAAAAAUUUUAAACCAAACUAAUAAUUAAUGAUACUUAAGCUAUCUUUAAAAUUGAAAAUUUUGAAGUUCCAACCUCAAUGGAUGCUAAAUAAAAAAAGAAAAAUUCAAUAAGAAAAACUAUAAUAUGUAUACCAUCAAUUACUUAAUCCUUCUGACAUUGCAAUAACUUCACCUCCCAGAGUUCCUAGCUAUGUAUUAAUAUGAGCUCCAUCUUCUUCUCAAUUGAAGUUCUCAUUUUCUGCUUUGCCCAUACAUGCAUGUAGAAUAAACUGCUAUGCAUUCCCUGAAGGGAAAUAGCAUCAUCACUUGCUCAUGAGCAAAGCUGAUUACUAGAAGAUGGAGAAUACAUAUAUGGCAAUUAGCUAAUUAAUAUAUAAAUCAAAGUACAUUAGUAAACAAAUUAAGGGACUAACAAUAUAAGACUUCAUGGGUGCUGUUUUGGGAGGAAGCUGGAGGGAACUAAAUCUUGUAAAAGGCCAUAAUCAGGAAGCUGCUGCUGUGGAGCAUAUAGAUGUGGAUAGAACAUGGCAGUAGGGUCACCUUGGUGGUGGUUAUUAUACGGUGGAAGCAAGCGAACGAAGAUGUCCUGAGGAAAGGUUGGUCGAUGGGCCAUCAUUGAAGAUGUAGAUGGCAGAAGCGAAUUAGGUGACAAAAUUCCUGCGGCAGUAUUAGCUCGAAGAGUUGCAGGGCAUUGAUGGUUAUGUUUCCCUUCGUACGUAGUGAUCACAAUUGAUGGGUCUUCGAAUGAUCUCUCUACUCGUUUCUUCACUGUGCACUUCUGACUGGUGCAUCUGUAAUAGCUUCUGCGAUAUAUAAUGGCAGCCCUUAUGAAAUAUUUAUGAUUCUAAUCAUUGAUUUUUUGCUUUGCUUUUCUUGGGAAUAACCCGAAUAAUUAAAUUGUUCUGCUCAAAAUUAAUGAACAUCAAUGUGUGCUCUUGAAAUGCAUCAAGUACUAACAAUAUUAAUGUCAUCGGCAUAAUAAUUAAAAUUUCUCACCAAGAUAUAUAUCAUAAAAUUCAGAUGCCACAUCACAGUAUAAAAUAUAUAAAAUAAAUACAUAAAUAUAUGCAAUACUUGUCAGGGAAUUUAGUAGAAUGUAACCUUGGAUAAGGACUAUUCUUGACUGCCUUCUGGCCGUACUUUCUCCAUCUGUAACCAUCUUCAAGGUGAUCAAUCUCACUCUUGGUCAAGAAGGAAAACCUUGGCUCUCUUUCUCGUUUCUCUUUCUUCUUUGUCUUGCUCACUUUGUUAUUAGACUUUUGCUUGCCAUCCUGGGAUUCUUUUUGGUGGUGGUGGUGGUGUUGCUGCUGCUGCUUUUCUUUGGUCUUGGCUGAGCCUUGUUGGGUUGCUGUAUCAUUAGAUGAAGAAGAUAUUGAUGAAUCUGGGGUAGAUGGGUUUUCAUUAUUGGUGGGUGCUGAUGAUUUUCCCGAUGGUGCACCUGAACAGUGUUGGAUGGGACUGCUAAUAACCUCAGAAGAAGAGCAAGGCAUAUCAAAGGCUGUGGAUAAGGUGUUAUAGUCCAUGGAUAAGCACUCAGUGAAGCUCAUGUAAGAGGGACCAGAGCGUUGUAAGGUUUGCAUCAGUGUUGGUUGAUUAUUGUACAUCGUAGAUGGGUGGUUAUCGUUCAAGAAUGGGAACUCUGACCCCCGGAUAAUCCCUCUCUGCUCAUUAUAGUAAAAAGGAUCAUUUUGGGAUGGAUUUUCCUUUUCAAUAUUUGACA